GUUUCGCAAGUUAUGAAGUGGGUAGUUUUUGCAACACUAUGCUAGGAGAGUGGAGAGGCGGGACUAGGCGGACAAGGGUGUGACCCUUCUCUGUGAUUGGUGGACAGAGAUUGACGGACAGACAGACGGAUAAAGAGGACGAGACAGACUGGAGAGGAGAGACUGAGAGAGAGAGAUGGAUCACAAUGUCAACUUUGACCUGACUCCUCACCACAUGGAGGCUGGCCUGGAGAGCCCAGUGGAUGAGGAGGGG